UACGAAGGGUGCAAGCGUUAAUCGGAAUUACUGGGCGUAAAGGGUGCGUAGGCGGUUCGUUAAGUCUGUCGUGAAAUCCCCGGGCUCAACCUGGGAAUGGCGAUGGAUACUGGCGAGCUAGAGUGUGUCAGAGGAUGGUGGAAUUCCCGGUGUAGCGGUGAAAUGCGUAGAGAUCGGGAAGAACAUCAGUGGCGAGGGCGGUCUGCUGGGCCGUUGCUGACGCUGAGGCGCGACAGCGUGGGGAGCAAACAGG
rnacentral:rRNA from 1 species